rnacentral:rRNA from 1 species
UACGUAGGGUGCGAGCGUUGUCCGGAAUUAUUGGGCGUAAAGAGCUCGUAGGCGGUCUGUUGCGUCGGCUGUGAAAACCCGAGGCUCAACCUCGGGCCUGCAGCCGAUACGGGCAGACUAGAGUGUGGUAGGGGAGACUGGAAUUCCUGGUGUAGCGGUGAAAUGCGCAGAUAUCAGGAGGAACACCGAUGGCGAAGGCAGGUCUCUGGGCCACUACUGACGCUGAGAAGCGAAAGCAUGGGGAGCGAACAGG